rnacentral:lncRNA from 1 species
GUUUGCCUCCUGGGUGAAUAAAGUCAUAUAACUUCAGGCCUGCUCUUCCAGUGAAGCUGCUUGCUAAUUAGUUUGCCAGUGGGAAUCUCUGAGAAUUAACCACAGGAGACAUAACCCUCCCUGCAAGACAGAUGAACAUUGCUGCAGAAAUUUGCCCUCUUCUAAACUGCCAGAGACAGCACAGAGCCAUGAGACAGAGCUGGAUCCUGCUGGAGUGCAAACAUUGGGACAGCAUCUCCAUGUUACCUUUCUCCUUCUCUCUGGAGAUCAUGAAAGCAAUUGUUUAA